ACGGAAGGCAGCAGUGGGGAAUAUUGGACAAUGGGGGAAACCCUGAUCCAGCGACGCCGCGUGAGUGAAGAAGUAUUUCGGUAUGUAAAGCUCUAUCAGCAAGGAAGAAAAUGACGGUACUUGACUAAGAAGCUCCGGCUAAAUACGUGCCAGCAGCCGCGGUAAUACGUAUGGAGCAAGCGUUAUCCGGAUUUACUGGGUGUAAGGGGAGCGUAGACGGCAAAGCAAGUCCGAAGUAAAAUCCCGGGGCUCAACCCCGGAACUGCUUUGGAAACUGUUUAGCUAGAGUGCAGGAGAGGUAAGCGGAAUUCCUAGUGUAGCGGUGAAAUGCGUAGAUAUUAGGAGGAACACCAGUGGCGAAGGCGGCUUACUGGACUGUAACUGACGUUGAGGCUCGAAAGCGUGGGGAGCAAACAGGAUUAGAUACCCUGGUA
rnacentral:rRNA from 1 species